AACAGACCCCUCCCCUUCCCCUUCGUCUCUUUCACAGAGAAGCCCCACAGUCCACCACCGGCUGCCAGCGCCCAACGACCACCAAGCUUACACCAGAGCAUCGCCUCCUCCCCCUCAAGACAAACCCACCCUUUGUUUCACUCAAAUCUUACCAGAAUCCCUCAAAUCCUCGAAACCCUAGCCUCCAUCCUCGUUUUCUCUGUUGGCGGCGCCAUCACCAGACGACCUUAAACACCCUUCAGCCCUUUCAUCCUCCACACCCCAAAACUACAGUCCAUCUUCUUCAAAUCCUUGUUAAAGUGCUCGAAUACUAAUUCUAAGGAUUGAGUUCUCGAAGCCAAAGCCCAAGUCGUGCAUACGACGCUUUUUCCAGAGUCCAUGGCACAUUGUCUGCAUGUUGUUCGAUGGAAAUAUAUGCUGGCAUCAUUUUGAGUAUAACUCAUAGACCCAGGGUCCGAGUUCCAGUCAGAUAGUGAGUUCUCUUUCUUUCAUUUAUUAUUUUUUGUUUCUUCUUCUAUUCUGCUUCACUUCAACCUAUUUAUACUUUUCUCUUUUUCGGUUUGAUAGCCAAUCACCUACCCUUCUCCUUCAUUUCUUUUUGUUUGAUUUUCCAAUAUAGAUGUGUUCGAAUUGAUGGUCGUUGUCCGUCUUUGUUUAAAAUCUGCUAUUCAAUUGAAUUAUAGUCAAAGAAUGAAUACUGUGUUAUUUUUUAUCAUGUUUCGUUAUUAGUUAUAAAUUUGGGAUUUUGACCUAAUUAGAUUACAAGAAUGUGCAAGUUCAGUGAAUUUUUUAUAUUCUUUUAGAUUUCUUUUGUUUCUGUUCCCUUGGGCCUGACAGUCCUAUUUAGAGCUUUAAGGUUCGACGACUGAAAAGUCUGAAAAUCAUUGAAUUAGGCUAUACUUUCAGGCCCCUAAAUGAAACAAUGUCUGAGUCAUAGGUUGACCCGACCCUUUCAAGGGAAGUAACAGGGUCACGGGGAUUAAUUCUUUAAACUAUGAAGGGUAGUUUAGGGAAUAAAAUAACAGGAAUAAUGUAAUUUAUAAAAGAUAAGGCUGGGAGAGGUCAAAAAAAUUCUCCCCAAAGUAUGCUCUCUAAAUUUUUUAUCUAAGAUCCGAAAUUCAAGCUCCACAGCCCCAAAAAUAGUAGAAAAUUUCAAAAAACAAAAAAAAAAUAACAAAGCAACAGAAAAUCACAAAAAUCACUAUUACAUUAGGUUGCGUGUCAGUUUUCGUAGUAAUCAAGAGGCUUCAAAGUUUCUGUGUUGAAUUUGAAGUGAAAAUUUCCUGUUUAAAUUGAAUUCUGGUAACAUCGAGUCUAUUUUCACAGGUUUUUCUCAUCUCUUGAAUUGCUGGUUUAUUUCUGGAUAUUUGAGAAGCCAAUUUGAUUUUAAAGUGAUUUGGUUGUUGCUGUGUUGAGGAGCUCAUUGCUGGUUUUCUGAAAAUACUCCUGAAUCUAUUGAUUGCUGCUGCCUGUUUUAUUAUAACUGACCAUCCUCUUUCUCCUUGUAAUUUCAAUAUCAAGUAAACAUUCGAAAUCAACUUCAUGUAACUCCUAACUUCUUCUUUAAAAAAAGGAUUCCAACAACAAAACUGCUUCCACAACUACGAAAAGCAAGUUUCUAUAUCUCGCAUCUACUUAAAUUGUGUGAAUAUGAGAAUCUCUUUCGUUGAAUUGAAAGAAUUUUCUAUUGAAUGGAAGAUGAUUUUACAUUGCUGCUGCCUGUUUUAUUAUAACUGACCAUCCUCUUUCUCCUUGUAAUUUCAAUAUCAAGUAAACAUUCGAAAUCAACUUCAUGUAACUCCUAACUUCUUCUUUAAAAAAAGGAUUCCAACAACAAAACUGCUUCCACAACUACGAAAAGCAAGUGUUGUUGCUGUUUGACUUUCUAUGAAGCAUCCACUGUCCCAUUGAUUAACUACAGUUACAAAUUAUUUCAGCCUAUUUGAAGCAGGAUGAACGGAUUUGUGUUAUUUUCGAAUUGUGUGAGAUCUAGGCUAUUUCCAUUUGUAUUAACUUUUGUAAUAAGUGGACUUUGUGCCUACUAAUUUCUAAUAUAUGCGAUAAACUGAAGUUCUAGUCUAGUUUCAGUAGUUGCAACAAGUUGAAUAGAGAUGUGUUAGCAAAUAAGGUUAGAUCUCAAAUGUUAAUGGUUACUCACAGCUUUAAAUAUUGAUUUGUUUUCCAGUAAUUGUAAAAGCAAGUUCAAGUAGUUCCGUGUUCUUUGUAACUCAAUUCUGUAGUCCAGUUAGUUUAAAAAUACUACAAUUGCUUGGGUAUUAGAUUAACAGUAGUAGUUAAAUACUGAACUGUAUUGAUUUGGUCCUUUAGCUGAUUCGUAUGUAAACAGAUAAAAUAACCGACUUCAAUUUAUGCUCGUAGUUCACUUUUGAUAAUUUUAUUGGUGUUUUGGUUUUAUUGAACUGUUUAAACACGUUUAAAGUAAAUUUGAAAUAAGUGCAGCCA
rnacentral:lncRNA from 1 species